CAUUAAAGAGUUCUAUAACUCCCAAACCCAUGUGAACAUACCUAACGUUGCCUCGGCAGGUCGCACCUACCUUGUAGCACCCUACCCUGUAGGGCCUACCCGGGAGGUGCGGGUAAGCCUGCCGGCGGCCCACCAAACUCUGUUUGAUAUUGAAUUCUGAACCUAUAACUAAAUAAGUUAAAACUUUCAACAACGGAUCUCUUGGUUCUGGCAUCGAUGAAGAACGCAGCGAAAUGCGAUAAGUAAUGUGAAUUGCAGAAUUCAGUGAAUCAUCGAAUCUUUGAACGCAUAUUGCGCCCAUUAGUAUUCUAGUGGGCAGGACCGUUCGAGCGUCAUUUCAACCCUUAAGCCUUCGUUGCUUAGUGUUGGGAGCCUACGGCAACGUAGCUCCUCAAAGUUAGUGGCGGAGUUGGUUCACACUCUAGACGUAGUAAUUUUUUAUCUCGCCUAUUAGUUGGACUAAUCCCCUGCCGUAAAACCCCCAAUUUAUCAAGGUUGACCUCGAAUCGGUUCAGACAAACUCGCUAAAUUGAAGCAUCUUAGUCAGCGAAGGAAAAGAAACCAACAGGGAUUGCCCUAGUAACGGCGAGUGAAGCGGCAACAGCUCAAAUUUGAAAUCUGGCCCUCGGGUCCGAGUUGUAAUUUGUAGAGGAUGCUUUUGGCGCGGUGCCUUCCGAGUUCCCUGGAACGGGACGCCUUAGAGGGUGAGAGCCCCGUACGGUUGGACACCAAGCCUCUGUAAAGCUCCUUCGACGAGUCGAGUAGCUUGGGAAUGCUGCUCUAAAUGGGA
rnacentral:rRNA from 1 species